rnacentral:rRNA from 1 species
UACGUAGGUGGCAAGCGUUGUCCGGAAUUACUGGGUGUAAAGCGCGUGUAGGCGGGAGGCCAAGUCUGCUGUGAAAUCGCCCGGCUCAACUGGGCGGGGUCGGUGGAAACUGGUCACCUGGAGGACGGUAGAGGCGAGUGGAAUUCCCGGUGUAGUGGUGAAAUGCGUAGAGAUCGGGAGGAACACCGGUGGCGAAGGCGGCCAGCUGGCGCUGACCUGACGCUGAGGCGCGAAGGCAUGGGGAGCGAACGGGG